rnacentral:tRNA from 1 species
GCCUCCUUGGCUCAAUGGUAGAGCAGCUCACUUGUAAUGAGCAGGUUGUUGGUUCGAGUCCGACAGGAGGCU